GGAUGUGAGGGCGAUCUGGCUGCGACAUCUGUCACCCCAUUGAUCGCCAGGGUUGAUUCGGCUGAUCUGGCUGGCUAGGCGGGUGUCCCCUUCCUCCCUCACCGCUCCAUGUGCGUCCCUCCCGAAGCUGAGCGCUCGGUCGAAGAGGACGACCUUCCCCGAUAGAGGAGGACCGUUCUUCGGUCAAGGGUAUACGAGUAGCUGCGCUCCCCUGCUAGAACCUCCAAAAACAAGCUCUCAAGGUCUCCGCUUUUGGCAGUCAAGUCUCCCUCUAGGUAGAUUCUUUCUCUGUCGUUCUCUGCGUGGGACACUUUUUCCAUGGCGGUUGAG
rnacentral:snRNA from 1 species